rnacentral:rRNA from 1 species
GACGAACGCUGGCGGCGUGCCUAAUACAUGCAAGUUGAGCGCUGAAGGUUGGUACUUGUACCAACUGGAUGAGCAGCGAACGGGUGAGUAACGCGUGGGGAAUCUGCCUUUGAGCGGGGGACAACAUUUGGAAACGAAUGCUAAUACCGCAUAAAAACUUUAAACACAAGUUUUAAGUUUGAAAGAUGCAAUUGCAUCACUCAAAGAUGAUCCCGCGUUGUAUUAGCUAGUUGGUGAGGUAAAGGCUCACCAAGGCGAUGAUACAUAGCCGACCUGAGAGGGUGAUCGGCCACAUUGGGACUGAGACACGGCCCAAACUCCUACGGGAGGCAGCAGUAGGGAAUCUUCGGCAAUGGACGAAAGUCUGACCGAGCAACGCCGCGGGAGUGAAGAAGGGUGUCGGAUCGUAAAACUCGGUUGGUAGAGAAGAACGUUGGUGAGAGUGGAAAGCUCAUCAAGUGACGGUAACUACCCAGAAAGGGACGGCUAACUACGUG